rnacentral:rRNA from 1 species
ACGCUGGCGGCAGGCCUAACACAUGCAAGUCGAGCGGAUGAGAAGAGCUUGCUCUUCGAUUCAGCGGCGGACGGGUGAGUAAUACCUAGGAAUCUGCCUGGUAGUGGGGGACAACGUUUCGAAAGGAACGCUAAUACCGCAUACGUCCUACGGGAGAAAGCAGGGGACCUUCGGGCCUUGCGCUAUCAGAUGAGCCUAGGUCGGAUUAGCUAGUUGGUGAGGUAAUGGCUCACCAAGGCGACGAUCCGUAACUGGUCUGAGAGGAUGACCAGCCACACUGGAACUGAGACACGGUCCAGACUCCUACGGGAGGCAGCAGUGGGGAAUAUUGCACAAUGGGCGCAAGCCUGAUGCAGCCAUGCCGCGUGUGUGAAGAAGGCCUUAGGGUUGUAAAGUACUUUCAGCGAGGAGGAAGGGUUCAGUGUUAAUAGCACUGUGCAUUGACGUUACUCGCAGAAGAAGCACCGGCUAACUCCGUGCCAGCAGCCGCGGUAAUACGGAGGGUGCAAGCGUUAAUCGGAAUUACUGGGCGUAAAGCGCACGCAGGCGGUUUGUUAAGUCAGAUGUGAAAUCCCCGAGCUUAACUUGGGAACUGCAUUUGAAACUGGCAAGCUAGAGUCUUGUAGAGGGGGGUAGAAUUCCAGGUGUAGCGGUGAAAUGCGUAGAGAUCUGGAGGAAUACCGGUGGCGAAGGCGGCCCCCUGGACAAAGACUGACGCUCAGGUGCGAAAGCGUGGGGAGCAAAC